AAGUAAAAGUCGUAACAAGGUUUCCGUAGGUGAACCUGCGGAAGGAUCAUUAACGAAAGCUCGAGCGAGGUUGUAGCUGGCUCACCCUCUCCGGGGGAGCAACGUGCACGCUUCGUCUUCGUCUUCUUCAUCUCUCACCCCUGUGCACCUCCGCGUGGGUCCCGUUAGUUCGGGCCCACGUCCUUUUUCCAUGAAAAACACGCAUGUCAUAAGAACGUCUUACUUCGCCUUUAGAAGCGAAACCAGUACAACUUUCAACAACGGAUCUCUUGGCUCUCGCAUCGAUGAAGAACGCAGCGAAAUGCGAUAAGUAAUGUGAAUUGCAGAAUUCAGUGAAUCAUCGAAUCUUUGAACGCACCUUGCGCCCCUUGGUAUUCCGAGGGGCACGCCUGUUUGAGUAUCGUGAAAUUCUCAACCCUCACCCCUUUUCGGAGUCGGUGAAGGGCUUGGACUUUGGAGGUCUUGCCGGGUCCCUUGGUGGAAUCGGCUCCUCUCGAAUGCAUUAGCGGGGCUCGCUCGUCCUCUAUCGGACUGCCCUUUGGUGUGAUAAUUCAUCAGCACCGAUCGGGCGUUCGUGACUUUAGAAGGAUGGCCUCUGCUUCCAACCGUCUCGUUUCAGAGACCAAGCGCCGUUUCGACGACGAAACCUUUUGAUCUCAAAUCAGGCGGGACUACCCGCUGAACUUAAGCAUAUCAAUAAGCGGAGGAAAAGAAACUAACAAGGAUUCCCCUAGUAACUGCGAGUGAAGCGGGAAAAGCUCAAAUUUGAAAUCUGGCGGUCUUUGGCCGUCCGAGUUGUAGUCUGG
rnacentral:rRNA from 1 species